GUGUUGUAUGAGAGAAGGUUAGCACUCCCCUUGAUAAGGAUGGAAGACAUCCUAGUGGCCUUUACAACACACAUACGGUUAAGGCAUUUCCACCUGCUCUGUGGCAUCUAACCAUAUUAC
ensembl:snRNA